CCUACGGGUGGCAGCAGUGGGGAAUAUUGCACAAUGGGGGCAACCCUGAUGCAGCGACGCCGCGUGAGUGAAGAAGUAUUUCGGUAUGUAAAGCUCUAUCAGCAGGGAAGAAGAAAGACGGUACCAGACUAAGAAGCCCUGGCUAACUACGGGCCAGCAGCCGCGGUAAUACGUAGGGGGCAAGCGUUAUUCGGAGUUACUGGGGGUAAAGGGAGCGUAGACGGCUGUGCAAGUCCGAGGUGAAAGCCCAGGGUUCAACCCUGGGAAUGCUUUGGAGACUGUGGAGCGAGAGUGCUGGAGAGGUGAGUGGAAUUCCUAGUGUAGCGGUGAAAUGCGUAGAUAUUAGGAGGAACACCAGUGGCGAAGGCGGCUUACUGGACAGUAACUGACGUUGAGGCUCGAAAGCGUGGGGAGCAAACAGGAUUAGAUACCCUAGUAGUC
rnacentral:rRNA from 1 species